UCCUUCCUUGGCAUUCCUUGGCUUGUGGAUGGAUAUUCACAUGGUUUCUUCCCACUCUGUGUGUGUGUCUCUCUUGCUCUUUUAAUAAUACACUACUCAGAAGUGAUUAGGUUUAGGACUCACCCUACUCUGGUCUGACAUCAUUAAGAUAACAGAAGAAAACUCCUACUUCCAAAUAGGGUCACAUUUACAAGUACAGGGGUUAGGACUUCAGCCUAACUUUUUAGGGGACACAGUUCAAUCCAUGACACCUUCCCCAUAACACAGAUUCCUCAUACCUGUGUUUGAUGUGCAGAAUGAUGGCACAAUGCUUUGACAUCCUCUCAUGGGAUAUAGAUUGUAGAUAAUAAUGUAGUAGUUGCAGGAGAUUGAAUACAGUCAUUUGAAUGUUUACAGCAGUUUUAUUUUCCUAUGCAGUUAUUAUUCUGACUCAUAAAUCUUAUUCCACUGUGUUUGAAAAUUUAGGUAAUAAUUUCAAGAUGCCAGGUCGUUCAACUUCAGGGUCUACUGGCUUCAUCUCCUUCAGCGGUGUAGAGUCUGCUCUCUCUUCCUUAAAAAACUUCCAGUCCUGUAUCAGCUCUGGAAUGGACGCAGCUUCUAGUGUUGCUUUGGAUCUGGUGGAAACUCAGACUGAAGUGAGUAGUGAAUACAGUAUGGACAAGGCGAUGAUUGAGUUUGCUAUAAUGGAUCGGGAACUAAACCAUUACAUAAAGGCUGUUCAAUCUGCAAUAAAUCAUGUGCGAGAAAUAGGACAUUGAGACCCACCUGGCUCUCACCUUCAGGAUGUCUUCAAUCUGGAAGAGGAGACAGAUAUUUAACAAAGAGCAAUAGAAACAUCAUUUAAUGACUGUUAUGGUUUGUGCAAGGAGCCCUGGUGCCACAGUGGUGAAGCACUCAGCUACUAACCAAAAGGUGUUGCUUCAGCAUGCUACUUUAUUGGAAAAUCCAGAGCAUUUGUAUUUUUCUCCCCCUUUCCUGUAAGACUCUUUUGUGCAUCUUAUAGAUUAUAUAAGAUUUAAAGAAUUUAAAUUGGAUUGCAACCACGUACUUGUUUUUGUUUUUUCAAGUCACUGUUUAUAACAGUUCCUACCAAAAGCCUGGGGAGGGAGAAUAUUUUUCCUCGUAACCUGACAGAAGCAAUUAGGUGCCCGAUUGAUCUCCUUGGGUUAUUUCUUAUAAAUCUGUUCGUGAAUAUGCCCUGUGUGUGGUGUGUUUUACUUGAUAACCUAACCUGAGCAUUUUAUCUGUGUUUUAAAACUGAUAUGUUGAGAUUUAGAAGAGUGGAAAUAUACUUCACAUAAGCUGUUGAAACCAACACAGUCUUAGAUACAAUAAAAGAACGAGGUGGGUCAAAGGUAUAGUUUACCUCAGCCUUGUCAUUAUGCAACUAGUUUAGAAUGUUUUUGACGUAUCACUUCCCUCUGCCUUCCCACCCUUUACUGACUGGUAAGCUUUGCCUUUUGCAAAACUUAUUUUAAAGUUACCUUAAUAGCCACUAUUGUAACAUGAGACCUAAUGGGGCAUCUUGCAAGUUGGGAGUUACCAUUUUAGUUAAACCAGAUUUAGCGACAGUUUCUCACUUAGAAAACCAAUAAUUCAUCUUACGGUGUCUGAAGUGAGUUGCAGGCCAGAGGGUGUGAUUUAUUAGAUCUGAUCACCUAUGACUAAAUGUGAGAAUGCACCACCUUCUACUAGACACUGUGAAUCAUUGACAAAAGAGGAAGGAGGGGAAAAUUAGUGUGGGAGUUAUGAGAUUCAAGGACAGAAGAUUCUUGAGAAAAAUUACUCUUGUCAGGGGAACAGCAAGAAGGUGAGAGAUAACAGAGAGGUGAAAUUAGGGAGAAAUCUCUUGGAACCAGAUGGGAAAGUAUCCUGGAGAUUGCCCUCUUCUCCACUCCCUGCCCCGAACACUCAACGCUCCAGAACAGUCUCUUACCUCCUGACUUGUCAGAAGUUUUCAAUUACUCGUAUAUGAGCCUUUUCAUCAAUAGGAACACUUCCCAGGUGUGUAAAUUAAUAAGAAAAUAAUAUAACCACUUGCCCCUGGAAUAUGUUUACUGCUGUGAUUACUGGUAAUUAAUUUGUAUUACAAUGCUUUAGAACUCCCUCUACAGUUAUUCCUAAGUUAAGGUUGUGUUUGGUAGCAUUUUGUCUAAUAUACAGAGUGAGGUAUAGAUAUAGUAUUCCACUAAUUGAGUUGCUUCUAUAGGAAAGAAUCUAAAUGUAGAUCUCUUAGGCUACCAAGUAGUUUGCUGCAAAAUACUGAUGAAUUGGGAUGUGAAUAAGUACAAUAGGAGAAAGAGAUUUUGUGGUCAAAUAAGUUUGGGGAAUGCUUGAUUAAAUGAGUUUCCUUAAAGACACCAAAGCUUUUAAUAUGCUUUUCUGCGAUAUGAUUUUCCAAAGGAGGGGUGUUCAGUCAUCUCCUCAAAUGAUUUGACCAUGGUAACCUUUUUGGGGAGGGACUGAUAUUCUGUGGAACGUUCAUUGAGAAAUGCUGCCAUAGUCUCAACUGCCCUAUUUUACAGAGGAGGUUAAGAGAUAGGUCCAGCCAUUGGUUUGUGGCAGACCUUCUGUGACAUACUAAAUACCUGGGAGGGUGUCAAACUUCUCCCUGAGAUAAGCCUUGAAGAUGUAAGGUCAGGAAAGGACCAGGCCUCUGAAAAAAUGAUGCAUUAUUCCAACCGUUAAAAAGAAGAAGGAGUUUUAAAAAACAUGGAGUGAUUGCUUGGCUAUCAGAGUCUCUGUUUGAAGCCAAGAGGACCCCACUGUGGACUCAAGAGAAUGGAGAGAGGGAGAUGUUUUGGAGAAAAGGUCAGAGAGGGGAAUGGAAUAGGCAGAAGGGACACAGCAGCAGUGUGGGCAAGAAAAGCAUAUCUAGAUCUUUGAAAGGUCUCAUUUACCACAGCACUCCAGCUAGGCACUGGUGUGCCCAAUAUGAUUAUUUGGAUACUUGGCUGCAGUGGUGCCAGGCAAUCCUAGCAGCUAAUUUCCUGGAUUAUUUAAAUGACAUGAAUGUUACUUUAAUAUAGCAAUAACCAGUUGCCAUUGAGUUGAUUAUGACUCAUGGCAACCCCAUGUGUGUCAGAGUAGAACUGUGUUCUAUAGGUUUUCAGUGACUGAUUUUUC